GUUCUUUGUGAUGUUUAUGACCAUGCUAAUUUAGAUCAUUUGUUGAUCGAAUACUUCUUCGUCUUAUCUUCUGAGGGAACA